rnacentral:rRNA from 1 species
UACGAAGGGAGCUAGCGUUGUUCGGAAUCACUGGGCGUAAAGCGCACGUAGGCGGAUGUGUCAGUCAGGGGUGAAAUCCCGGAGCUCAACUUCGGAACUGCCCUUGAUACAGCACGUCUUGAGUCCGGAAGAGGUGGGUGGAAUUCCUAGUGUAGAGGUGAAAUUCGUAGAUAUUAGGAAGAACACCGGUGGCGAAGGCGGCCCACUGGUCCGGUACUGACGCUGAGGUGCGAAAGCGUGGGAAGCAAACAGG